rnacentral:rRNA from 1 species
UACGAAGGGGACUAGCGUUGUUCGGAAUCACUGGGCGUAAAGCGCACGUAGGCGGAUUUGUAAGUCAGGGGUGAAAUCCCGGGGCUCAACCUCGGAACUGCCUUUGAUACUGCAAGUCUCGAGUCCGAUAGAGGUGAGUGGAAUUCCUAGUGUAGAGGUGAAAUUCGUAGAUAUUAGGAAGAACACCAGUGGCGAAGGCGGCUCACUGGAUCGGUACUGACGCUGAGGUGCGAAAGCGUGGGGAGCAAACAGG